rnacentral:ribozyme from 11 species
AAAACAUGACUAACUAGGCCUUUUCUUCAUUUUUUUUCCAUUUUUUGGGUUUUCUUCUUUCUUUUUUCU